rnacentral:rRNA from 1 species
AUUGAACGCUGGCGGCAGGCCUAACACAUGCAAGUCGAACGGUAACAGGAAGAAGCUUGCUUCUUUGCUGACGAGUGGCGGACGGGUGAGUAAUGUCUGGGAAACUGCCUGAUGGAGGGGGAUAACUACUGGAAACGGUAGCUAAUACCGCAUAACGUCGCAAGACCAAAGAGGGGGACCUUCGGGCCUCUUGCCAUCGGAUGUGCCCAGAUGGGAUUAGCUAGUAGGUGGGGUAACGGCUCACCUAGGCGACGAUCCCUAGCUGGUCUGAGAGGAUGACCAGCCACACGGGAACUGAGACACGGUCCAGACUCCUACGGGAGGCAGCAGUGGGGAAUAUUGCACAAUGGGCGCAAGCCUGAUGCAGCCAUGCCGCGUGUAUGAAGAAGGCCUUCGGGUUGUAAAGUACUUUCAGCGGGGAGGAAGGGAGUAAGGUUAAUACCUUUGCUCAUUGACGUUACCCGCAGAAGAAGCACCGGCUAACUCCGUG